rnacentral:misc_RNA from 1 species
AUGCGAUAAGUAAUGUGAAUUGCAGAAUUCAGUGAAUCAUCGAAUCUUUGAACGCACAUUGCGCCCGCCAGUAUUCUGGCGGGCAUGCCUGUUCGAGCGUCAUUUCAACCCUCAAGCACAGCUUGGUGUUGGGACUCGCGUUAAUUCGCGUUCCUCAAAUUGAUUGGCGGUCACGUCGAGCUUCCAUAGCGUAGUAGUAAAACCCUCGUUACUGGUAAUCGUCGCGGCCACGCCGUUAAACCCCCAACUUCUGAAUGUUGACCUCGGAUCAGGUAGGAAUACCCGCUGAACUUAA